rnacentral:rRNA from 1 species
UACGUAGGCAGCAAGCGUUGUUCGGAGUUACUGGGCGUAAAGAGUGUGUAGGCGGUCCUCUAAGUUCGGUGUGAAAUCUCCCGGCUCAACUGGGAGGGUGCGCCGGAAACUGGAGGGCUUGAGUGUGGGAGAGGAAAGCGGAAUUCCUGGUGUAGCGGUGAAAUGCGUAGAUAUCAGGAGGAACACCGGCGGUGUAGACGGCUUUCUGGACCACGACUGACGCUGAGACACGAAAGCGUGGGGAGCAAACAGG